UUCUGGCUCAGGAUGAACGCUGGCGGCAGGCUUAAUACAUGCAAGUCGGACGGUAACAUGCGGGUAGCAAUACCUGUGAUGACGAGUGGCGGAUGGGUGCGUAACGCGUAUGCAACCUGCCCCUUAUUGGAGGAUAACGUUGUGAAAACGGCGAUAAUAUUCCAUGUGUACCUGGGAGGGCAUCCUUCUGGGUAUAAAGAUUCAUUGAUAAGGGAUGGGCAUGCGUAUCAUUAGGUAGUUGGCGGGUAACGGCCCACCAAGCCGACGAUGAUUAGGGGUCCUGAGAGGGCAACCCCCCACACUGGAACUGAGACACGGUCCAGACUCCUACGGGAGGCAGCAGUAGGGAAUAUUGGGCAAUGGAGGCAACUCUGACCCAGCCAUGCCGCGUGAAAGGAAGGCGGUCCUAUGGAUUGUAAACUUCUUUUGUUGCAGAGUAAAGGCGGGGACGCGUCCCCGUGUGAGAGUAUGCGACGAAUAAGCAUCGGCUAACUCCGUGCCAGCCGCUGC
rnacentral:rRNA from 1 species